rnacentral:lncRNA from 1 species
GCUACUAUGUGCGUUUUCCUCGGCCCAAUAAACCAGCCCCUAAGCUAAUUACAGAUGCAGCAACGUGGAUGCUGCUGGGUGCUUUCUCUCCAAUAAUGUUGGACGUGGCAGGUUCUUCAAAGACGUGUUGGAUGCUGCUUCUUGAUGGACCAAGGCCGUAAGCUGCACCUCCUUUCUCUUCGUGGACCGUGUUUCCAUCAUUUGAAGAUUGGAUGCUGUUACAUUCUUUUCUCCAAGUUGGACGCGUAAUUGGUUGCUGGGCUGCUGCUGCAGAAGCUGGGCCGAGGCUUGCUGCUACCGUGAAGUGUUGGUUUUCACGGGCUGCACCUCCCAGUUCAACAAGUGGAGUGCAGGCUGUGAAUGUUCAAACUGCUGGACAAUGGGUGAAGGUGGAACUCCUGCUGCAGUGUGGAUGCAUGGGCCGUGAGUGAAUCUCUCGAAUUUGCUAGAUGAAUGCAAGGUGGACGUGCUGCUUUUGGGCCGUGAAGAAGCUUGCUAGCUGCAGCCGUUGCUGUUUGUAGUACCGUUUCCACAAGCUGCAGCUCCAAUUCACCUCCUUGCUUGCUGCAACCAUCACGUGCUGGACCAAGGCCAUGACAUCUUCUGCUGGUUUCCUAAAGCUUUGGGCCGUGGUGGUCUUGGUGAAGCUGGAUGCUGUUGUUGCACGUGAACAUGAGGAGCUGCUGCUUGCUUCCAGACUAGGCCCUGAAGUUGCUGAACAUUCCGUGUGCACCCCUCUCUGCC